rnacentral:rRNA from 1 species
UACGUAGGGGGCGAGCGUUGUCCGGAGUUACUGGGCGUAAAGCGCUUGUAGGCGGUCCACCAAGUUUGGGGUGACAGUUGCCGACUUAAUCGGCAAAGUGCCUCAAAGACUGGCGGACUUGAGGGCCACAGAGGGACAUGGAACUCCAGGUGUAGUGGUGAAAUGCGUAGAUAUCUGGAAGAACACCCGUGGCUAAGGCGGCUCUCUAGUACGGUACUGACGCUGAGACGCGAAAGCGUGGGGAGCGAACAGG